CCUUGUACUGGGGGAUAGCCUUUAGAAAUGAAGAUUAACACCCCAUAAUAUAUUUAGGCCGCAUGUCUUUAUAUUAAAGGUUACGGUACAAGAUGAGUAUGCGUCCUAUUAGCUAGUUGGUAUGGUAACGGCAUACCAAGGCAACGAUAGGUAGGGGCCCUGAGAGGGGGAUCCCCCACACUGGUACUGAGACACGGACCAGACUCCUACGGGAGGCAGCAGUGAGGAAUAUUGGACAAUGGGGGGAACCCUGAUCCAGCCAUGCCGCGUGCAGGAAGACUGCCCUAUGGGUUGUAAACUGCUUUUGUACGGGAAGAAACCGCUCUACGCGUAGAGCCUUGACGGUACCGUAAGAAUAAGCAUCGGCUAACUCCGUGCCAGCAGCCGCGGUAAUACGGAGGAUGCAAGCGUUAUCCGGAAUCAUUGGGUUUAAAGGGUCCGUAGUGGGCCGGUCAGUCAGAGGUGAAAUCCUGCAGCUCAACUGUAGAACUGCCUUUGAUACUGCCGGUCUUGAAUCGUUGUGAAGUGGUUAGAAUAUGUAGUGUAGCGGUGAAAUGCAUAGAUAUUACAUAGAAUACCGAUUGCGAAGCAGAUCACUAACAGCGUAUUGACACUGAUGGACGAAAGCGUAGGUAGCGAACGGGAUUAGAUACCCCGGUAGUCUACGCCGUAAACGAUGGAUACUAGCUGUCCGGCUUCGGCUGGGUGGCUAAGCGAAAGUGAUAAGUAUCCCACCUGGGGAGUACGUUCGCAAGAAUGAAACUCAAGGAAUUGACGGGGGCCCGCACAAGCGUGGAGCAUGUGGUUUAAUUCGAUGAUACGCGAGGAACCUUACCAGGGCUUAAAUGUAGACUGACAGCUUUAGAGAUAGAGUUUUCUUCGGACAGUUUA
rnacentral:rRNA from 1 species